CACUGCAUUAAACUUAACUACAGAGACCUCAUUAAACCAUAUGGAGAGAUUGAUAGGGCACAACUUGUAACCAAGAAUCGUUUUCAACAAGGCUAUUCAAUUGCUUUGAACUACAGCUGAGGAGUAAUUUGUUAAUAUCCUCGGAUUCUGAAUUCUGCCCAUCAUUCCCUGCAUCAAUAAUGCAAGAUUAUUUAAAGUUAAAACAUUUUGUUUAUAAUUCACAUGUUCGCAAGUGAUGCACAAUUGUCAUGGGAAGUAUCGGAUAAAAAAAAGGAAACAGAAUUAUUAAUUUGAAAUUUUCUAUUUUAUUUUUCAAACAAAUCUCCAGCAACUCCAUUUUUUCUAGUCUGGAUCUAAAAAUUAUUUCUGCAUCAGCUUAAGCGAAGGACUUUUGAAUGCCACAUUGUGGCUCCCACAUGAAAUUCAAUUUUAACAGUAUUCCUUAGGCCAGCAAACGGAUAUUUGGUCCUAAAGGCUGAAGCCAGACUAUGUUGUCACAGAAGCUCAAGGAACAAGAAUCACGUUUACGCCUAAUGCAUGCUUAGUUCCAUUAUCAGUGUAGACAGAUGAAAGUUUACACAGCAGAAACAGAAAUUAUGCAUGAACAUUUAGUCAUGCAAAAGAUAAGAACAUCAAUUUUCAUACUAUAAAUUUCUGAUUUUCCAAUCAUCAGUGACAAAAGUAUCUCAAUGCUAUCAGGCAUUAUUAGAUUACUUCCACCUGUAAGCAUAUCAAUAACUAAAAAAAGCCAUGAAAUUUACAAAUACAUACCUGUUCUCGAUCUGACUUGAAUCGUCCACUCAUCAAUGAUCUGAAUGACAACAAAGAGACAGAAGGGUAAUUAUAAUGUUUCAGAAAUGAUAUUGCAUAAAUUAGUUGGCAGAGAAAGGACAACAACCAAGUAAAAAAAAAAGUAUGGAGGUUAUGUAGGCCUUAUUAUCACCAAAGCAAAGCUAUCCAACACAUCUCCAGAUGGUUGUUUACUUGCGUAAAGCCUCACAAGUUGUUUUGGUUGCUUGCUGGCAAAUGGUGCAAACACUCACACACCAUUUGGAAAAAUAUGCAACCUUUCAGACCAG
rnacentral:misc_RNA from 1 species